ensembl:lncRNA LINC01206 long intergenic non-protein coding RNA 1206
AGACCUUGACAGUUGUAACCGAUAGACUGGGCUGGGGCAACGCUGAUGAAAGGCAAAUUCCUGAGAGAAAAAUCACCCAGAUUUUUCAGUGCCUUCUCUAGCUUUCUAGAAGUUGUUAUGAGUGGACCUGACUACCUAGAGAGAGUAAUACAGAAGCUCCGUGCCGAUCACAGCUACCUCAUUACCAUGUUCCUCCAAGAUGGCCGCCCCUGAGGAGAAUCAUCAACUGGGCUUUACGGAAGAGAGAAAUCCAAACGACCAUCAGCAACAAAUGAAAGACUGAAGUUGAAAGGAAAUCCAUAAUUUUUGAAUGCUGGCCGAGGUCUGUGACCUCUGACUGAAUGGUUUCCAAGCUCCGAAUUCCUAGGUGAUGUUUUCAUUUGUUCACACUUGCUGAAGAAGGGAAAGGCUCUCUGAUUUACGUGUAAGCAAAACAAUCUAAACAGUAGGAUAAAAUCAUGUUGGAAUGGAGUUCUGUGUGGAUGCUCCUUUGAACCAAAUCAGUUCCACAACUGACCCUGUCAGGGACAUAUAAAUUUAGCAUUUUGGUGUGGAUACAGAAGACGAGAUUAACACAGAUCAAGUAACAUGGAAAUAAAAAAGGAGACAAUGCUGGAUGAUACAGGGGCAGCCAACAAGAGGAGAAAACCCAAGCAUUGGCAAAUGCCUCAUUAUCCAAAGAACACUGUAAAAGAAAGCCUGAGGAGGCUUUCCCCUCUGAGUUUUUCCGUGGAUUGCUGGACUCUGAGGCCCUCAUUCCUCUUGCAGGAGGUGUGGAGCAAAACUGUGUUGAAUGAACUGUAGAUGGAAAUUCUCUCCUUCCCACCGAGGAGCCGCUGCAGGUUGCAGACUCCCAGAAUGCCACACUGAGAAGAGGAGGGCUAAAAUUCUAGAGCAGAAUCCCUGGGGCAGCCCCUGCUGAAGAAGGGUGCAUCUGUUGAGAAUCUCAUCACCGCCCCCACCCCGCCCAGCCUUCAAUUUAGAGGAAUUUCUAGUUCACGCAGAAUGAAGACAAGAUCACAUAAGUGAGGACGACGCCCCAUUUACAAGUGUGAUUUGGAAGACUGAAGUGGAAACCUUGGGAAGGGGCCUCAGAGUAUGUCAGCUGGGGUCAGACGGGAACAGGAGUCUGGCUCAACACACAUUUAUUGCACUCCUGUUUCAUGCCAAGAAAUGUACCAAAAUCUGGGACUGUGUAACACAGCAAAGGAAAAGACUCAUCUCCAGGAAGCCCCCUUGUCUAGGAAGAGAAAUUGAAUAUCAGCAUAAGGUGGUGAAAAGCUGUGAAGGAGAUGAGUGCCAGGAGUCCAUGGAGGAAGGAUUCUAGCCUGGACAGGUGAGGAAUGGCUUUCUGGAAGAAGCAGAUGCCCCAGCUGAACUUUAAAAUGCCCAUGUGAAAUGAACUGUCUGUAUCUUCAAUCAGCAAAUGGAGUAGGUGGCCACUGUUUAAUUCUGGAAUGGGGAAGUGUAAAGGUGUGGUGUGUGUGUUUACCCCUACUUAGGGAUUCAAAACAGACAGUAAAGAACAAAAGUCUAGCCCUUUGAGCAUUCUCCAUGGGACAUUUGAGGUCUAGCUGGCCCCAGAGAAAGAGAGACAGAAGCAAGGUCAUAUCCAUUUGAGAAAAUCAAAGUGUCUGCUCCAAUUGA